rnacentral:lncRNA from 1 species
CAGCAGCAAAGCAUGUAGGAUGCCUGUUCAGAAUGCAUACGGAUGUCUCUAAGAUCGGAACGUCUUUCUUUGUGUCCCCAGGCCUAUGUGAAUCUCCUUUUCUGGUACCAGUUCUUUUGUGGGUUUUCAGGAACAUCUAUGACAGACUACUGGGUGCUGAUCUUCUUCAACCUCCUCUUCACAUCUGUACCCCCCAUCAUUUAUGGCGUUUUGGAGAAAGAUGUUUCGGCAGAGACCCUCCUGCAGCUGCCUGAACUUUACCGGAGCGGUCAGCGAUCAGAGGAGUACUUGCCCCUCACCUUCUGGAUCACCUUGUUGGAUGCCUUUUAUCAAAGCCUGGU